rnacentral:rRNA from 1 species
UACGAGGGGGCGAGCGUUGUUCGGAAUUAUUGGGCGUAAAGGGUGCGUAGGCGGUUUGGUAAGUCUUAUGUGAAAUCUUCGGGCUCAACUCGAAGUCUGCAUGAGAAACUGCCGGGCUUGAGUGUGGGAGAGGUGAGUGGAAUUCCCGGUGUAGCGGUGAAAUGCGUAGAUAUCGUGAGGAAGACCAGUGGCGAAGGCGGGUCUCUGGACAGUUCCUGACACUGAGACACGAAGGCCAGGGGAGCAAACGGG